AUUAAAGGCACUGCCUGCCCAGUGAUUCUUAAACGGCCGCGGUAUUCUGACCGUGCAAAGGUAGCAUAAUCACUUGUCUUUUAAAUAAAGACUAGUAUGAACGGCAAGACGAAAGCUUAACUGUCUCCUUUAUUUAAUCAAUGAAACUGAACUCCUUGUACAAAAGCAAGAAUAAACUAAUAAGACGAGAAGACCCUAUGGAACUUAAAACACGCAAACACUUUAAACCACAAUUUAAAGCUUGAUUACGCUGUUUUCGGUUGGGGCGACCACGGAGAACAAGCAUCCUCCGAGACACAAUUUCAGUAAUACAAAACAAAAAUUCAAAAUCUUGAUAAUAGACCCAAAAACAAUUGAUCAACGAACCAAGCUACCCUAGGGAUAACAGCGCAAUCUUCUCCAAGAGUACAUAUCGCCAAGAAGGUUUACGACCUCGAUGUUGGAUCAGGAUACCCAAACAGUGUAACCGCUGUUAAAGGUUUGUUUGUUCAACAAUUAAAAUCCUACGUGAUCUGAGUUCAGA
rnacentral:rRNA from 1 species